AUUGAACGCUGGCGGCAGGCCUAACACAUGCAAGUCGAACGAGUGGCGGACGGGUGAGUAAUGUCUGGGAAACUGCCUGAUGGAGGGGGAUAACCACUGGAAACGGUAGCUAAUACCGCAUACUAUCAGUUGUGGCCAGAUGGGAUUAGCUGGUUGGGGGGGUAACGGCUCCCCAGGGCGGCGAUCCCUAGCUGGUCUGAGAGGAUGACCGGCCACACUGGACCGGGACCACGGUCCAGACGCCUACGGGAGGAAGCAGUGGGGAAUAUUGCACAAGGGGCGCAAGCCUGAUGAAGCCAUGCGGCGGAUGUGAAGAGGGCCUUCGGGUUGUAAAGUACUUUCAGCGGGGAGGCGGUACCCGCAGAAGAAGCACCGGCUAACUCCGUGCCAGCAGCCGCGGUAAUAC
rnacentral:rRNA from 1 species